GGAUCCACGCAGAUAACCUUUUUACCCGACGGGCCUCUCCUAGCUCAUAUGUUUACACUUCGAAUCUCUGGAAGAAUAUAUAAUCUAUAUUCUCACAGUUAUUUGAAUUUUGGAAAAGAUUACAUGGAAAGGAGAGUAAAAGAUUACCUCAUACAACAGAACCCACAAGUUUACGACAUCCUUAAUCCCUGUUCUUUAAAGAAUGACAAUUACAGUUACGAGUACGGGAACACCACUGUGAUAUUCCGGGGAUCCAGUUCUCCCUCCGAGUGCCUUACGAUCAUAUCAAACUUUCUAAGACUUUCUUACGACACGUGUUAUCCCAAGCCAUGUGCAAUAGGUUCCAUUUAUCAGCCUUCCGUUGGUUCAGACAUAUUCUAUGCCGUUGCUGUUUUUGCCUUCGUAGCAUCUGAUUUGAAAGCUACAGAUUCUUCAGGGAGGCUUGAUAUUGACAAGCUUAAUAAAACUGCACAUAUCUAUUGCAGUAAGACUAUAGAUGAUGCGGCAUCUGUGUAUAAUGUUCCUCCAGAAUUUGGCUCCAAUACUUGUAUGAUGGCGCUGUACAUUACAGAGUUGCUUACCUUUUCUUAUGGAUUUCCGGUGAACACAAAGAGGAUUUAUUCUUUUAAAGAUAUCAACGGAAAAUCCUUGAACUGGCCGUUUGGUGCGGUGGUGUACGAGGCUGAGCUCCUGGCUAGGGACUAUCCGUGUCCUCCGUUUUACCAGAUCAACGCUGGGACAUCGCAACACCAACUUAGACUAACGUUAUUGCAACUGCUCACUGUGUCUGUUCUUGUUUCAGUUUUGUGUUCGACAAAACACGUGUGAGCAAUUUCUUCCUGCAGCUGUUUGACCCUGUUAUGGGUUUCAUUAUAUCUUUUUGCAACAUUAGUUCAUGCAUAUAAGUACAUUUGUUUGUCACUAUAGCAUAUAUCGUACAUAUACUGUAUUAUGAAGUUGAAUUUUGGAAAUAAAUUAACAAUGAUAAAAUGG
rnacentral:misc_RNA from 1 species